rnacentral:rRNA from 1 species
UACGUAGGGUGCGAGCGUUAAUCGGAAUUACUGGGCGUAAAGCGUGCGCAGGCGGUGAUGUAAGACAGAUGUGAAAUCCCCGGGCUCAACCUGGGAACUGCAUUUGUGACUGCAUCGCUGGAGUGCGGCAGAGGGGGAUGGAAUUCCACGUGUAGCAGUGAAAUGCGUAGAGAUGUGGAGGAACACCGAUGGCGAAGGCAGCCCCCUGGGCUAACACUGACGCUCAUGCACGAAAGCGUGGGGAGCAAACAGG